GUGGGCUCCCCGCGUCGCGAUGGAGGAGAGCAGGUUCGAGUCGGUGCUGUGUGUCAAGCCUGACGUCCCCGUCCACCGCAUCCCUCCGCAGGCUACCAACCGUGGCUACAGGGCCACGGAGUGGCAGCUUGACCAGCCAUCAUGGAGUGGCCGGCCGAGGUUCACUGCAAAGGAGCAGAUGGCCUACAUCAAGCUGGAGGACAGGACCUCAGGGGAGCUCUUUGCUCAGGCCCCAGUGGAUCAGUUUCCUGGCACGGCUAUGGAGAGCGUGGCGGAUUCCAGCAGGUACCUCGUGAUCUGCAUUGAAGAUGGAAACGGGCAACGGGCGUUUAUUGGAAUUGGCUUCGGGGACCGAGGUGAUGCCUUCGACUUCAAUGUUGCAUUGCAGGAUCAUUUCAAGUGGGUGAAAGAGCAGUGUGAAUUUGCAAAACAAGCCCAGAACCCAGACCAAAGCCCCAACUUGGACCUGGGCUUCAAGGAGGGCCAGGCCAUCAAGCUCAACAUUGCAAACAUGAAGAAGGAAGGAGCAGCCGGAAUCCCGGAGCCCGGCCUGCCAGCACAGGAGGGUUGAGCUUGCUUCCCCCUGCCCCAGGGGGCAAAACCUCCACCCUCAUCCCUGCCCCUGGGGAGCAGUUGUCGGUGGGGGGAUCCCUCCUCCAGCCAGCAGUUGCUCCCACUUCAGGAGGUGCUUCUGUACCCUGGCCACAGCCCAAGCCUGCCACCGCUGCCAUCUGGGGAGACUUUACCAAAUCUACAGGAUCAACUUCCAGCCAGACCCAACCAGGCUGGGUCCAGUUCUGACCUGAGCACAAUUUUUCCUCAUGGGACUUCUGGGAAGGAGCUCCCUCAUCUGGGCCAAAGGAAGGAGGGCGAAGCAUUCCUCAACUGGCCUGUGUUUGCAGCAUGAAUCUCUCCUCUCUCCUUGCCUGGCUCUGUUGACAAACUGGGCAUGUUUGGCAGUAAAUUGGCAUCUUGUCACACUGUUUCCUGGAAUUCAAGCAUGCAACCAGUACACAGAAGAAAAGCUCCGGGAUCCCUGUCCCCAUCUGUCCUCUUGACAUGAGACAGACUCUGAGACUUCUUCUAUGGCAAUGACACGUAUUAAACACAAGCCCCCAAAGCAAAA